rnacentral:rRNA from 1 species
ACGCUGGCGGCGUGCUUAACACAUGCAAGUCGAACGAUGAAGCCUAGCUUGCUAGGUGGAUUAGUGGCGAACGGGUGAGUAAUACGUGAGUAACCUACCUUUAACUCUGGGAUAAGCCUGGGAAACUGGGUCUAAUACCGGAUACGACCAAUCUCCGCAUGGGGUGUUGGUGGAAAGCGUUAUGUAGUGGUUAUAGAUGGGCUCACGGCCUAUCAGCUUGUUGGUGAGGUAACGGCUCACCAAGGCGACGACGGGUAGCCGGCCUGAGAGGGUGACCGGCCACACUGGGACUGAGACACGGCCCAGACUCCUACGGGAGGCAGCAGUGGGGAAUAUUGCACAAUGGGCGCAAGCCUGGUGCAGCGACGCCGCGUGAGGGAUGACGGCCUUCGGGUUGUAAACCUCUGUUAGCAGGGAAGAAGAGAGAUUGACGGUACCUGCAGAGAAAGCGCCGGCUAACUACGUGCCAGCAGCCGCGGUAAUACGUAGGGCGCGAGCGUUGUCCGGAAUUAUUGGGCGUAAAGAGCUUGUAGGCGGUUUGUCGCGUCUGCUGUGAAAGGCCGGGGCUUAACUCCGUGUAUUGCAGUGGGUACGGGCAGACUAGAGUGCAGUAGGGGAGACUGGAAUUCCUGGUGUAGCGGUGGAAUGCGCAGAUAUCAGGAGGAACACCGAUGGCGAAGGCAGGUCUCUGGGCUGUAACUGACGCUGAGAAGCGAAAGCAUGGGGAGCGAACAGGAUUAGAUACCCUGGUAGUCCAUGCCGUAAACGUUGGGCACUAGGUGUGGGGGACAUUCCACGUUUUCCGCGCCGUAGCUAACGCAUUAAGUGCCCCGCCUGGGGAGUACGGCCGCAAGGCUAAAACUCAAAGAAAUUGACGGGGGCCCGCACAAGCGGCGGAGCAUGCGGAUUAAUUCGAUGCAACGCGAAGAA